UAUCCUCGAGCCAUCAUUGAC
rnacentral:piRNA from 1 species